rnacentral:rRNA from 1 species
AACGAACGCUGGCGGCAGGCUUAACACAUGCAAGUCGAACGCAUCCUUCGGGGUGAGUGGCAGACGGGUGAGUAACGCGUGGGAACGUGCCCUUCAGUUCGGGAUAACCCAGGGAAACUUGGGCUAAUACCGGAUACGUGCGAGAGCAGAAAGAUUUAUCGCUGAAGGAUCGGCCCGCGUCUGAUUAGCUAGUUGGUGGGGUAAUGGCCCACCAAGGCGACGAUCAGUAGCUGGUCUGAGAGGAUGAUCAGCCACAUUGGGACUGAGACACGGCCCAAACUCCUACGGGAGGCAGCAGUGGGGAAUAUUGGACAAUGGGCGAAAGCCUGAUCGAGCGACGCCGCGUGCAGGAAGAAGCCCCUUGGGGCGUAAACUGCUUUUGCGUAGGAAAAAUUUUGAUUGUACUACGAGAAUAAGGGGUUGCUAACCUCGUGCCAGCAGCCGCCGUAA